rnacentral:rRNA from 1 species
AUACGGAGGGUCCGAGCGUUAUCCGGAAUCAUUGGGUUUAAAGGGUCCGCAGGCGGUCAAUUAAGUCAGAGGUGAAAGCCCAUCGCUCAACGAUGGAACUGCCUUUGAUACUGGUUGACUUGAGUUAUACGGAAGUAGAUAGAAUAAGUAGUGUAGCGGUGAAAUGCAUAGAUAUUACUUAGAAUACCGAUUGCGAAGGCAGUCUACUACGUAUAUACUGACGCUGAGGGACGAAAGCGUGGGGAGCGAACAGAAUUAGAAACCCCAGUAGUCC